CCCCUUCUUACGCAUGCGCAACUCAGCUGCUCCGUCUGCAGUCGGAAAGCGGUUUUUACCUGCCCACCUACAGAAACUACAUCAUUAGCUCCAUUUACAGAGGAGGAAACUGAGCUCCCUUGCCUAAGGGGUUGAUGUUGCAAUCUUUGCUCCGUGGGAGGAGGACCCCAUGCUCACAGCUGUCCCCCAUGUAAGAGGAUAGAGGUGUCCAGAAGCCCUCAUCCCUGCCUGGCCCAGCCUCACCGUGGCUCUGUCCUGCCUUUGCCAUGAGAGUAUCAGCCCCUGCCUGCUGCCUCCCCCAGGGGCUGCAGCCUCCCUCUGCAGCUCUGCCUUGUGGGCUGGUGGGGUGGGAGCGAGCUCACUAGGCCAGAUGGGCUGAGUGGAGCCCAAAGUGGCAGGCUGGUGGUAUUCAAGCCUAUUUUUAUCCAGAAAAAAAUCUGUUCUGUAUUUUACUCCACUUUGGGGCAAGGAGAGGUCAAGGCUCCUCACCUUCGCUGUAAGAUGAGAACGC